UACGGUCACAUCACGUUGAAACAUCGGUUCCCGUACGAUCACCGAAGUUAAGCAACGUCGAGCCUGGUCAGUAUCGAGAUGGGAAACCGCUUAGGACUACCAGGUGAUGUAA